rnacentral:rRNA from 1 species
CGGCGAUGUCCGAAUGGGGAAACCCAGUGUGAUUCGUCACACUAUCGUUAACUGAAUACAUAGGUUAACGAGGCGAACCGGGGGAACUGAAACAUCUAAGUACCCCGAGGAAAAGAAAUCAACCGAGAUUCCCCCAGUAGCGGCGAGCGAACGGGGAGCAGCCCAGAGUCUGAAUCAGCUUGUGUGUUAGUGGAACGGUCUGGAAAGUCCGACGGUACAGGGUGAUAGUCCCGUACACCAAAAUGCACAGGCUGUGAACUCGAAGAGUAGGGCGGGACACGUGGUAUCCUGUCUGAAUAUGGGGGGACCAUCCUCCAAGGCUAAAUACUCCUGACUGACCGAUAGUGAACCAGUACCGUGAGGGAAAGGCGAAAAGAACCCCGGCGAGGGGAGUGAAAAAGAACCUGAAACCGUGUACGUACAAGCAGUGGGAGCACCUUCGGGUGUGACUGCGUACCUUUUGUAUAAUGGGUCAGCGACUUAUAUUCUGUAGCAAGGUUAACCGUAUAGGGGAGCCGCAGGGAAACCGAGUCUUAACUGGGCGUUAAGUUGCAGGGUAUAGACCCGAAACCCGGUGAUCUAGCCAUGGGCAGGUUGAAGGUUGGGUAACACUAACUGGAGGACCGAACCGACUAAUGUUGAAAAAUUAGCGGAUGACUUGUGGCUGGGGGUGAAAGGCCAAUCAAACCGGGAGAUAGCUGGUUCUCCCCGAAAGCUAUUUAGGUAGCGCCUCGUGAACUCAUCUUCGGGGGUAGAGCACUGUUUCGGCUAGGGGGUCAUCCCGACUUACCAACCCGAUGCAAACUACGAAUACCGAAGAAUGUUAUCACGGGAGACACACGGCGGGUGCUAACGUCCGUCGUGAAGAGGGAAACAACCCAGACCGCCAGCUAAGGUCCCAAAGUCAUGGUUAAGUGGGAAACGAUGUGGGAAGGCACAGACAGCCAGGAUGUUGGCUUAGAAGCAGCCAUCAUUUAAAGAAAGCGUAAUAGCUCACUGGUCGAGUCGGCCUGCGCGGAAGAUGUAACGGGGCUAAACCAUGCACCGAAGCUGCGGCAGCGACACUAUGUGUUGUUGGGUAGGGGAGCGUUCUGUAAGCCUGCGAAGGUGUGCUGUGAGGCAUGCUGGAGGUAUCAGAAGUGCGAAUGCUGACAUAAGUAACGAUAAAGCGGGUGAAAAGCCCGCUCGCCGGAAGACCAAGGGUUCCUGUCCAACGUUAAUCGGGGCAGGGUGAGUCGACCCCUAAGGCGAGGCCGAAAGGCGUAGUCGAUGGGAAACAGGUUAAUAUUCCUGUACUUGGUGUUACUGCGAAGGGGGG